ACUGCUCAGUAACACGUGGACAACCUGCCCUUAGGACGGGGAUAAACCCGGGAAACUGGGUAUAAUACCCGAUAGGUCUCGAUUGCUGGAAUGCAUCGAGAUUUAAAGCUCCGGCGCCUAAGGAUGGGUCUGCGGCCUAUCAGGUAGUAGUGGGUGUAGCGUACCUACUAGCCUACGACGGGUACGGGUUGUGAGAGCAAGAGCCCGGAGAUGGAUUCUGAGACACGAAUCCAGGCCCUACGGGGUGCAGCAGGCGCGAAAACUUUACAAUGCUGGCAACAGCGAUAAGGGAACCUCGAGUGCCAGGUUACAAAUCUGGCUGUCGAGAUGCCUAAAAAGCAUUUCAUAGCAAGGGCCGGGCAAGACCGGUGCCAGCAGCCGCGGUAAUACGAU
rnacentral:rRNA from 1 species